rnacentral:rRNA from 1 species
UACGUAGGGUGCGAGCGUUAUUCGGAAUUACUGGGCGUAAAGCGUGCGCAGGCGGCCGAGCAAGUCGAGUGUGAAAUCCCCGGGCUUAACUUGGGAAUUGCGCUCGAAACUACUUGGCUGGAGUGUGGCAGAGGAAGGUGGAAUUCCACGUGUAGCGGUGAAAUGCGUAGAGAUGUGGAGGAACACCGAUGGCGAAGGCAGCCUUCUGGGCCAACACUGACGCUCAUGCACGAAAGCGUGGGGAGCAAACAGG